GCAGUCGUGGCCUACUGGUUAGGGCUUCGGGCUUGGAACCGAAGGGUUGACAGUUCGAUCACUGCCGAAGUGCC
rnacentral:tRNA from 1 species